UUAAGGGUUUUUUGUUUGUUUCUUUCUGUUGCAAUUCUUGUUGUUUACAAGAGUAUAUUUUUAUUUUGCAUAGAUUUAGGGAAAAUGUAAUGGAGUGUAAUACUAAGCAGAUAAUACUUGGAUACUGUGUAUGUCUGUGAAUAGUAAUAGGCUUAUUGCUGUGCGUCUCAACAUAGUUCUUUCCUUGAAGAUGUUUUAAUAUUUAAUCCUGUAAGUCACAUUUUGGGAAUUGAGUAAGGUUUUGAAUGAGAUGAUAGUGAGAUCUCCCUUUAUAAUUUCUAUCAUCUUGUGUUCAAAGUGAUCUUAAAAAAAUUUAUUUUUACUGUGAGAAUUUUUGCUUUCCAUAAUUUUUUUCUGUUAAGAAAAGUGCUCAUAAAGACUGAUCUAUCUGGACCUUUUUAUUCAUUAAUUUAGUGCAGAUAGUAAUUUUCCUACAUUUUAAAAAAUUUGUGCAAUUGUUUAAUUUACUGUCAUUUAGGCAUCUGCAAAAAGGGAAGGCAGGGAUUAGAUGAGAACUGAAUAAGCAUUGAUUGCUAGUCUGAAAAUUAAAUUUUGAAAGUUUUUGCAGUAAAUCUGAUUUCAGUCCAUUUUUACUAAAUUCGAUUAUCAUAUUUAAAUUGAGGUUACUGUACAGAAAACAAAUGUGUGAAACUGUCCUGGAGAGUACACAUUUCCUAUUGUAUCUGACUUUAAAGAUGCUGAUUGCAUCUACCCAGGAAUAUCCUAAUUGUAAAAUUCAGAAAACAUGUUUAAAUAAUGCAUGGGAAAAUAAAAAGGAAAGAUGGAAUUUUACUGUUCAGAUGUUAAGGUGAUGCUUUACUUUAAGAGAAAAAAAAAGUGUAGUAAAAGCAAAAAACUACUGAUGUGAAAUCUCAGGCUGUCUCUUAUGGCUUUAGGCAAAAAGGCAGGGAAACCCAAAACAGGUCUUGCUGUGCAGUCUGAAAGCAAGGGAAAUUUGGAAGCAUUUAUGAAAACACACUAAUAUUUCUGUAUUUAUUUACUUGUUUCUAGGGAGAGAAGGUGGCUUUAAACAAACAAAUUUAUAAAAUAUGUAAAAGGAGGUGUGAAGGGCACUUCAGUGAUAGGACCUUGAGAAAGUAGAUAUAAAGAUACAGAGCAACAUCUAUUUAUUUUAGAGCGUUGUAACUGUGGCCAAAUAUAGUACUAGCAGAAAGCUUAGAAACAGCCCAUAUGAGUGUGUCUACAAAUGAUUUAUUUUUGUGGCAAUUAAAAAUGUAGGGAUAGUUGUGUGUCUGUUAUCUCCUUCACAGACCUCAAAUAUUCAGAGUAUGGGCCAGUUUCAGAUUUUGCAACACAGGUACUUUUUUUUUUUUUAGGUCCUAACCAAAACAAAAGGUUUACUUGUUAGUAGUUGCAACUUUCCUACAGGACUGAUGGGUGGAAAUAGAGAAGAGAGAAGGUAAAGCUGUAUUGCAAAAAGGGUGCUUAUUCUUCCCAGCAGAAUAAAUAAGCAACCUAGCCAAGUGGCAGAUGAAACAUGAACCACGUAGAGAGUUUAUUUUUGUACAAAUGUGCAUAUGGAUGAUCACACAGGCCCUCAGUUGUACUUAAUUCCUGAAGCAGAGAUGUCAUUGGGAACUAACAACUUUAGCAGUCUGACUUAGAAAAUAAUAAACUCAAAUAGAGAGGAAAGCUGUACAGCAACAGGAAGAAAAGAGGAAUGGUGAUUUCUUUGAUCUUGUUAUGUCUGUUCUAAUGUACCCAAUGUGGUCUUAAGUUGUCAGCUCCAUGGCAAAGAUUCCUAUGUUUUGUUCUUUGAAAUACUCUCUUUACACAUGCGACAGAGUAAUAUAAUCAGUCUGGCUCCUCUUAAUGGAGCUGGACUUUGGUGAAAUAAAAACAUCCUUUUUUUUCUGUCAUCUGUGUUCAUUGGAACAGCAGAAGAUUAUUUGCAUUUACAAAGAUAAUGAAACAAGGAGCUUCCCUUGUUUUAAAGUUAUUCUGAGGAGUUAGAAGUCCUAUAUCUGCUAAGAUUCUCUAUAGUUGUGUUGAUGUGGUCUUAAAACAAACAUUUGCUUCAGUGUGUUUCUGUGAAAUUUCAUAAUGCUGUCACGCUUAAAUUAGAUGCUAAAUUAAUUGCAGUGCAUAUGACAAAACUGGAAUUAGGUAACUGCUUUUUUAAAAUUUCCUUUUUAGUUGAAGAAAUAAAAGUCUAUUGUGGGCUGAAUAUGGUUGUGAUGAACUUUCCAUUUGACAAGACAAGGCUCACCCUCCUUCUCCAGAGUGAAAUUCUGUGUUUGUCAGUCUGUUACCUUGUUUUACUGUUACUUGUAAAGCUCUUUCGCUAGACUCCAACAUGGUAUUCAUUUUCACCUUCAGUUUUAGUCAAUAAAUUUAUGCUAAGUAGCUUCUUGUGCUUUAAAAUGUGCUAAUGGACAUUAAUGCCUGCACUUUCAGAGCUGCAGGGGGCUCCUGAUGCCAAUUUCAGCAUACUGAAUUUGCUUCUACUUAUGAUAUUUAGGAAAACAACAUAAAAAUGUUCUUGUUACGUUUGAGUUCAGUGGAAAAUGUCCUGCCAACCAAACUUGCCAAGGCAGGGCCUGAAACCUUAAAGCAGCAUGAGUCCUAUGGUGACAUGACACAAGCAACAGGCUGUCCUGGGAAACAUACAGUCAUAGGAGCUCAAACUGUGUUGGUUGAAUAUAAUUUCUUGGUUUUCUGUCUACAGAACAGUACAUCUUCCACUUGAAGCUGAAAGUCUGACCCCUGUUAUCUCUAUUGGUGGCUAUAUUGCCCCAAGGAAACUGUUGCCCCAAGAAGAGGUCUUUCAAGUUCCAUGAUGGGAGAUAGAGUCAACUUCUGUAUUGGUGCAAUGAGUAUAUUGUGUCCCCAUCCCAAAGCUUAUGAAAUCUGCUGGCCAGGAAAAGGAAUGACAUGGCUUUCCAUCUUCCUGCUCCUCCUAGUCCUUUUUGGGUUUAGGCACUUCUGAUAAAAAAAGAGGCACAAUUUUGCAAGUAUCCCAAGAGACCUAAGAACUGUUGGUCUUUCAAGCAUGCAUAAAAAGCUUCCAUCUCACUAUAUAAAUGCAGGCCUAAGAGCUCAUUGAUUUGUUCCACAAGUUCAAUAAUCACUAAUCCAUCUACGGAAUGGCGUCUGGAAUGCUCACAACCAACUUCUGGCAAAAAAUGUUAGCUCACAAGCUACAGUGUAUAAAGUAGCCCUGUUCAACAGCAUCAGGUGCUGCCAGAAGUAUGGUUAGAAGAUUUUGAUAAGUGACUUUGACCUCAGACAGUGUAGCAUAUGAUGCAUUUGUAACUGUCUCAACAAAGUGAUCUCUCAUCCAAAUGUCAGUGUCUUCUAGGGAAACAGGGAAUCUCUGAAAGGGGGAAAAAAUUUAUCUGUAAAUUGACUCUAAAAGAAAUAGUACCAAUUACAGAUUUUAUGAAAAACAAACUGUACCUUGAUAGUGUCCUCUUUGAAAUUUUGGAACCUCUGUUGAAAGCCAUAAACAAAUUAUAAGGUACUGAGAAAGAUCAUAUUUGAAAGGAGUUUUCUUGGUAUCUCUCCUUCUCAUUUUCAGAUAGACUUUCCAGCCUUUCUAAAUGUUGUCUGUGAAGUGGAUAUUGUCCAGAGCAUAGUGAAUUGCAUGGUAUCAGACUACUGGGGCACACACUGCAGUGAUUUCAAACAGGUAGCUUCAGGGGACAACCACUCACCUGAUCUUUCAGUCUUUUAAAAGAAAGACGUAUAAUAAUGAAGGUGUGUUCAAAAAUGGGAUCAUUCAGACUGAUGCCUAAAACUCUGCUAUUCAGUGAAAAUCAUACACUCCCAAUUAGGUUGUCAGUAUUUUGUGAAGUUUUUUGAAGCUUUUAACAGUUUUUAUUGCCUCUUUGAUUAUCCUGGAAAGUAAAUAGUUACAUGUUGGAUAACCAUAUGGAUGAUGUGUUGGUGUAUUUAAAGAAGAUUGCUCAGAUGGCUCAGAGCCCAUAGUGGCAGUGCCAGGAUUUUUAUGCACUAAAAAUCUAAACAAAUAACUACAAGAUGGAGGGAGCAAUCACUGAAAGGAAAAGUGAGCAAUAAAAUGUAGAAUUCAACUUUACCAUCAGGGACAGAUAUUAAAGCCAUGGGAGAAGUUGUAAUGUGACUUCUCAUACUACAUUUGGGCUGUGUCCCAAUUAGCUUUCCAGCUUCAGCGGGGAAAGUAGUUUGAGGUGGUUGUUCCUUGUUCCCAGUCUACAGUACUGGGCUGCCAGUGAUCUUUUUAAAAGUUCAGGUUUCUACCUCAGUUUUUACACUUCCUCAGUGACUCCAGUUGAACUACUAGCAGAAGGGGUGGAGAAUCAGGUUGCACUUUUCACCACAAGCCAUACAAACUCCAUUUCUCAGCAUACCAAUGUACCAUAACAACUUCUUAUAAUAACAAGGCCAUUGAAUAACCUGGCAUGAUUUUCCUUGGACAGAUGAUGAGUGGUGGGAGGAAGGAAGGAAGCAGAAAGGAAGGCGAGGGAUAAUAGAAGGAAAAUUCUCGAGGGACUGAGUAAUUUCUUCAGGGAGACACUUCCCAUAUUUUUUAUUCAGUGCCUGAAUGCUGCUCAUGCAAUAUAUACAAAUAUUCUCAGUCUCUUCAAGUGAAAAAGGACCCUGUAAUCCAAGUCCACUCACUGAACUAUAAAUGUAACCUCACUGAGAGAAAGAAAUGGUUUAAAAGACUCAUAUUUUAGUCAGGUUUUAUCAAGAACUGUAAAGCACAUAAUUCUCAUAACAGGAAAGCUUCAGUUGUUUUAAACCCUGGCAAUUUUUUAUUUGAGAAAUACCCAGGCAACAAGCCUUCUCUCAAAUGAGAUAGAGUGGACUGUUUUAUAUCAGGAACUGUAUUUCCUACUUUUCUUUGUCUGCCAAAAAUUCUCUUGCCAGAAACUCUGUCAUUUCAAUUUUUAUCUGUUGUUGAGGGGAAGUUAGUUAACCAUCACAGUAUCACCACCAUCACUACAAAAAAUAUCAGCAGAUAGUGAAAGGCUAUGGAAAACUGAUAAUGCUUAAUUUUCCCUGGGCCAUGACAAGUCAUGAUAAAAUUGCCAGCUCCAUUUUACAGUGGAGAGGAUUGUGGUAUGGAUAUGCCUUAAAGUAAUCUGUGGACAAUUCUGAAACAACAAGGUAGCAAAUAUGUCAGGUCCAUGCUUGUUACUACUUUUGCUAUGUUGGUAUAUAAUUAAUAAAAUGUUACAGCCACUACCAUGUUCUGGUAGUGGAUCUGUGUCAUCGAAGGAACACACAAACACUGGUUAGACUUUCAAUGUCUUUAAAAAAUUAAAUGUACUAAUGGAAAUUUUCACCAUUUGGCUGCUGGAGUCAGAGUUUUGUCCUUUUCAAUUAGAUUAUAUGCACAGACCAGACAGACCUCAUUGGGACAGCCCUUGCAUGCAUUUGAUGGAGAAUUUGACCAGAAAUGUUUGACAUCCAAACAAGCUGAAAGCUUAAACACACAUUAGACAAAAUUUUUUAUACUACGUGAUGAGAGUAUUGCUGAUUGUUAAUUUAUUAGUAAGCUGUUAGUAGAGAGUAUUUCAAUACAGGUGUGGAGCUGAGAUUGCUGAGAUUUCAUAUGUGGUGCUCAGAAUCAGAAAUGUCUGUUUCAUGUGUUGCUAGUUAUGUCAAGAAUUACUUCUGUAGUGCAUGGCAUUAUUCCAGAUUGUAUCUCAAUAAAGUGGAUUAUUCUUCAGUGCAAGGCUUUUCUAGGGAAGAGUAUAUCCAGGGUCCAGAUUUGAAGGCUCUGUUUCAAGUUUUACAGAGUGCACUUGAGAAGAGUGGUCAGUUCUUUUUUUGCUCAAACCCUGUAAUGUGUUUGCUGUCUGUGCCAAGAGGCAGUCAGCAAAUGUUUGCAAAGGGAGUUUGUUGGUGUGGAUAAAAAAAAGUAACUGAAGUGAGACUAUGGCAGAGAAUAAAAUAACAAAUGAUGUAUCACUGCUUUUUUUUUUUUUUAACUUCAAAUUAAGAUCUGUAGUGUGCUAAUAACUUCAUGGCAGUGGUGACUAAAAUGAUUAUUAUCCUUGUUGUACAUGCCUUAUAACCAAUCUUUAAAGUCCUAGCACCUAGCCAAAAGUUCUGUUACAUUUUUACAACAAUGAUGAUCGCAGUGGUAGUGGAGUGAGGUGUUGUAAAACAAGGCACUUGAGCAGGGGUGAAGAACAGACUUCCUGAAAGAACUGAAAUGCUGUAAGAAUAACAGGAAGCUGUUGAUGCAAUAUAGCUCUUGCUUCAAUAGAGAGCUAGUGAUCAGAAAUUCAAGCACAUUUGUAUUCUUCAUUAUCUGAGAAUAGUUGUUCCCAUUGAACUCAGUCUUGAUGGCACUGGUCCUGCUUUUCAGAUCAAUAUGCUCUCCCUAAUUCACUAUGUUUUUAUUCAUAUAUAUAUAUGUGGAAUCCUCCAAAUAAUGUAAGCACAAAAAUUUGGUGUAGAAAGAAUUUUAUUAAAAACUAGAUGUUAGUGUUUCAAAGGAGACUAGAGGAUCUCCUGGGAUUACUGAGUAGAUGGGAGGAGUUGAUUGCCUCAGGCAUAACCCAGGGCCAUUAAUUACAGCUAGUCAUUAAUUCUCCCGUAACGCCCUGUGCUGAUGCCACUGUUCCUGUUACGGCACAGAAAUAGAAAGCUGUCUGAUCUGUGGACUUUGAUGACUUAUGUUAUUCUUAUAAUGAUUACUUAUAUUUCUAAAUGCUUAUCACUGAAGUGUUCAUUAGAGUUCAGCUUGUAAGCUUCAUGUCUUUCUAGAGAGUUAUUGUUUUGCUUGUUACUCACAGGAAGCCUUUAAAGAGCUCUUGAAAACACUAUAGCCAUUAUAAGGUAUGUUCUGUAUAUUGAAUCCUGGGAAACUAAAAUUUAUAUAGAUACUCCCAAAAGAAAAUCAGUAUACCUAUUUUCAUAUGUAGAGAAAAUGAAAAUUGAAUAUAUGGUUCCCUUACUCUGUGGUUGCCAUAUAAGGCAAAGUGAAGUCUAAAUUCUAAGGACCUGUCGUGUUUUGACACGGAAAAAGAAUUUUCUCAGAAGGAAGAGGUCAAUUUUGGAUGUUGACCAAUUGAAGGUGGACAUGCCUCUGAGAACACAAAAAACUAAAGAUCCAGGUUUUGGGUUGGUUUUGAAAACAAAAAUUUUAAAUUAGUUUAUUUCAACUCCUGAAGAAAUGCUAAUAAAGGACAGAAUAGUUACAAACCAUUUAGAAAAAAUAGAAACCAACUAUAUAAUAUAAACCAACUAUAUAGUAUAAACCAAUUUCUGUCAUACGCCGUUUACAUGCAUGCUCAUGUACUCAGCACUGCACAAUGAAAGCAUUGCUGGACUGAUUGUAGAGUGCAGGAAGAAAAAGUUCAGGGGCAAGAGACAGCCCCCAGCACCCAGCUUAGGAGAUCAUGUGAACACACAUGACUCUAAGCAGCACAGAGUUUCAGUAGCAAACAGCAGCUGUGAGAAUUUCCAGAUUGCUAGACUUGUAUGUCUGUUUAAAUUAUCUUAUGCUUUUCUCUAGAAAAAAGUUACUCAUCUGACCUUUACAUAGAGUCCUUCUUUGUCAGGGAUCUCAAAGUAUUUUACAGAUGCAGAGGUUUAGAACUGACAUGCACAUGUCAGAGAAAAAAUGAACAGACUGACUGCACCAUGGUUGUACAGAAGUUUGGCAGUGCAGAAAUAUGACUACUGAUGGGCUUCACUGCUGCUUUCCCUGAAAGGCCAUACAGCAGCACUGCGUAGCACCCCAGUCGGGAAGCAUGAGAUGCUUUACUCAGCUGAAAAUACAGAUUCCAAAAUUAGAUCAAGUCACAUUUCCUCAUGGAACUUCGGCUUCAAGGAGGCAUUGAGCUAUUGCAGCCCCUAGUCUGAAGGUUCCUGCUCCAGUGGAUGACCUGCGCUGUCAUGCACAAUAUCCAAAAACAAUUGGACAAUGACAAACUUAAAAAGUUAAUGCAUGUCCUGCUUACUGUCCCAUCCUCCUUAGCUUGUGCUUUCUGACACUUGCUUGAUGUUGCUGAGUCCUUGUUGUUGAAAAUGCUGUUUAGUCCAUGAUUUGCCUGCUCCAUUCUCAUUUGACCUGUUAACUGCUAAAGAAAAAUAGUUAUUUUAAGAAUUGGCUUGUCAAAGAGCUCUUCAAAAACCUCUGAAGAUUAAUAUUUGAUUAAAAUGUGACUGCAGCAUUAAAAA